AGAGUUUGAUCAUGGCUCAGAUUGAACGCUGGCGGAAUGCUUUACACAUGCAAGUCGAGCGGCAGCGCGGGGCAACCUGGCGGCGAGCGGCGAACGGGUGAGUAAUACAUCGGAACGUACCCAGUUGUGGGGGAUAGCCCGGCGAAAGCCGGAUUAAUACCGCAUACGACCUGAGGGUGAAAGGGGGGGAUCGCAAGACCUCUCGCAGUUGGAGCGGCCGAUGGCGGAUUAGCUAGUUGGUGAGGUAAAGGCUCACCAAGGCGACGAUCCGUAGCUGGUCUGAGAGGACGACCAGCCACACUGGAACUGAGACACGGUCCAGACUCCUACGGGAGGCAGCAGCGGGGAAUUUUGGACAAUGGGGGCAACCCUGAUCCAGCCAUUCCGCGUGAGUGAAGAAGGCCUUCGGGUUGUAAAGCUCUUUCGGCAGGAACGAAACGGUGGGUCCUAAUACGAUCUGCUAAUGACGGUACCUGAAGAAGAAGCACCGGCUAACUACGUGCCAGCAGCCGCGGUAAUACGUAGGGUGCAAGCGUUAAUCGGAAUUACUGGGCGUAAAGCGUGCGCAGGCGGUUUGGCAAGAAGGAUGUGAAAUCCCAGGGCUUAACCUUGGAACUGCAUUCUUAACUGCCAGGCUAGAGUAUGUCAGAGGGGGGUAGAAUUCCACGUGUAGCAGUGAAAUGCGUAGAGAUGUGGAGGAAUACCGAUGGCGAAGGCAGCCCCCUGGGAUAAUACUGACGCUCAUGCACGAAAGCGUGGGGAGCAAACAGGAUUAGAUACCCUGGUAGUCCACGCCCUAAACGAUGUCAACUAGCUGUUGGGGCCUUCGGGCCUUAGUAGCGCAGCUAACGCGUGAAGUUGACCGCCUGGGGAGUACGGUCGCAAGAUUAAAACUCAAAGGAAUUGACGGGGACCCGCACAAGCGGUGGAUGAUGUGGAUUAAUUCGAUGCAACGCGAAAAACCUUAC
rnacentral:rRNA from 1 species